rnacentral:misc_RNA from 1 species
CAGAAUUUUAGAAUAAGAUUGUCGCUGGCCUCUCUUUGGGGCAUUGUGCACGUCUUGUUCAAAAACUCUUCAUAAACCACCUGUGCACCUUUUGUGAGCUUUGUGGAAUGCGGUUUGAGAUUUGCGCCUAACACGCGCUCUUCUUGCUUCAGUCGUGUUACAUAGAGUUCAUGUUUUUACUACACAUACUAUUUUAAAAAUCUCAGAAUGUUUCAUUAGAGUUGGGACUUGGUGCCCUUCUUUAUAAAAGUCUAUA